UACGGAAGGCAGCAGUGGGGAAUAUUGCACAAUGGGCGCAAGCCUGAUGCAGCCAUGCCGCGUGUAUGAAGAAGGCCUUCGGGUUGUAAAGUACUUUCAGUCGUGAGGAAGGUGUUAAGGUUAAUAACCUUAGCAAUUGACGUUAGCGACAGAAGAAGCACCGGCUAACUCCGUGCCAGCAGCCGCGGUAAUACGGAGGGUGCGAGCGUUAAUCGGAAUUACUGGGCGUUAAAGGGCACGCAGGCGGUUAAUUAAGUUGGAUGUGAAAUCCCCGGGCUUAACCUGGGAAUGGCAUUCAAGACUGGUUAGCUAGAGUCUUGUAGAGGGGGUAGAAUUCCGAUGUGUAGCGGUGAAAUGCGUAGAGAUGUGGAGGAAUACCGGUGGCGAAGGCGGCCCCUGGGACAAAGACUGACGCUCAGUGUGCGAAAGCGUGGGGAGCGAAACAGGGAUUAGAUACC
rnacentral:rRNA from 1 species